rnacentral:rRNA from 1 species
UACGUAUGGUGCAAGCGUUAUCCGGAUUUACUGGGUGUAAAGGGAGCGCAGGCGGUGCGGCAAGUCUGAUGUGAAAGCCCGGGGCUCAAUCCCGGUACUGCAUUGGAAACUGUCGUACUAGAGUGUCGGAGGGGUAAGCGGAAUUCCUAGUGUAGCGGUGAAAUGCGUAGAUAUUAGGAGGAACACCAGUGGCGAAGGCGGCUUACUGGACGAUAACUGACGCUGAGGCUCGAAAGCGUGGGGAGCAAACAGG